rnacentral:tRNA from 1 species
UGUAGCUCAGUGGUAGAGCGCUCCCUUAGCAUGGGAGAGGGCUGGGGUUCAAUUCCCCAUA